GCUUCCCCCGGCAGAGUGGCCCUGGACAAGGUGGGCUGUUUGGCCAACAGCCCUAGAAAAGGAGCUCCGGGCGUCAAGAGAAGACGCUAACAAGAACAUGGAGGAGAACCAGUCUGGGUUCCUGAGAGGAACAUCCGUACCUGUCAGCAUACUGACAAGAGGGACAGAGACCUGAGCAUCAAGGGAAAAACUCGUCAGAGAGACAAGCAGAGGAGGAAGGCGAGACUGAGAAGAUGAAGAGCCAAUAAUAAGAUGUUGACUGUCCUUUUUUGCAAUGAUGACUGUCGCAGAUGGCUCCAUGAUGGAGUCAUGAUUACAUUGGACUUAUAUGCCUUACCCCACCUUGGGUUAAACCUGUAACUUGACCAC